GACGAACGCUGGCGGCGUGCCUAAUACAUGCAAGUUGAGCGCUGAAGGUUGGUACUUGUACCAACUGGAUGAGCAGCGAACGGGUGAGUAACGCGUGGGGAAUCUGCCUUUGAGCGGGGGACAACAUUUGGAAACGAAUGCUAAUACCGCAUAAAAACUUUAAACACAAGUUUUAAGUUUGAAAGAUGCAAUUGCAUCACUCAAAGAUGAUCCCGCGUUGUAUUAGCUAGGUGGUGAGGUAAAGGCUCACCAAGGCGAUGAUACAUAGCCGACCUGAGAGGGUGGUCGGCCACAAUGGGACUGAGACACGGCCCAAACUCCUACGGGAGGCAGCAGUAGGGAAUCUUCGGCAAUGGACGAAAGGCUGACCGGGCAACGCCGCGUGAGUGAAGAAGGUUUUCGGGUCGUAAAACUCUGUUGGUAGAGAAGAACGUUGGUGAGAGUGGAAAGCGCAUCAAGUGACGGUAACUACCCAGAAAGGGACGGCUAACUACGUG
rnacentral:rRNA from 1 species